GGUUGUGAUUUGUGUUCGAUUUGGUUGUGAUCAUUCUUGGAAAGUGUUGGUUUCAUGCAUAUAUCUUGGGUGGUAGUAACCUCAGUUUUGAGUUGCCAAUGACUUCUGUUUAUUUUAUUUUGGUGCUUCUUGAAGUCAUGGAGUUGGAGGCUGAUAUUGGUGUAUGGUAGUUUGUCUUUGAUCGAAUAGGUUGGUGCAUGGGCAAGUUAUUCAAAUCAGAUUUUGAUUGACAGUCAUCCAGGUAACUGAGUAGUGCGAGGGGUGUGCAGAGUUGGUGUUGGCAGCAUGGUUUUUCGGGUGUGCAACAUUGAAGGAAGAAUCUUGGAUUCUUAUGCAUCCAUUUGAUAUUCCACUUCAUUAUUUUUUUAUCUAGACUGGUGCAGUGGAAGUUCAUCUCUGGUUUUGAUAUUGUUAUGGGCAAAUCUCAACGUGGUGCCGUUGGAGGGUCACAGGAUCCGGCAGUCUCUCCCGCAAGACGUUUUACCCGGGCAUCCGCACGUAACAGCCCCCUAGAGGCAACUCAUCCCGCAAGCAGGAAUCCAUCGCCCAUCCGCAAUCCCACAAAGAAAGUGACAAA